AACGCACCUUGCGCCCUCUGGUAUUCCGGAGGGCACGCCUGUUUGAGUGUCUUGAAAUCAUCACCCCCUCGGCUUUGUUGUCGGGGGAGUGGACAUGGAGGUCUUGCUGCCCUAGGCGGCUCCUCUCAAAUGCAUCUGCUGGGCCUUCGAGGCCGUGCUCUAUUUGGGCGUUGUAUCUUCCUCGCUCUCAGGGUGCGCCUCGACUCGUAGUGCCUCGCAUGGACGGUCGCGCAGAGUCGCCCGUCUGCCCUUUGGCAACCAUCGAAUUCUGACCUCAAAUCAGGUGGGACUACCCGCUGAACUUAA
rnacentral:misc_RNA from 1 species